rnacentral:rRNA from 1 species
GAUGAACGCUAGCGGCAGGCUUAAUACAUGCAAGUCGAGGGGCAGCAUGGUGUAGCAAUACACUGAUGGCGACCGGCAAACGGGUGCGGAACACGUACAGAACCUUCCUUCGAGCGGGGAAUAGCCCAGAGAAAUUUGGAUUAAUACCCCAUAGUAUAUUGAAAAGGCAUCUUUUCAAUAUUAAAGAUUUAUCACUUGAAGAUGGCUGUGCGGCUGAUUAGGUAGUUGGCGGGGUAACGGCCCACCAAGCCUGCGAUCAGUAACUGGUGUGAGAGCACGACCAGUCACACGGGCACUGAGACACGGGCCCGACUCCUACGGGAGGCAGCAGUAAGGAAUAUUGGUCAAUGGACGAAAGUCUGAACCAGCCAUGCCGCGUGGAGGAUGAAGGUCCUCUGGAUUGUAAACUUCUUUUAUAUGGGACGAAAAAAGGGUUUUCUAACUCGUCUGACGGUACCAUAUGAAUAAGCACCGGCUAACUCCGUGCCAGCCGCCGCCGUAAUAC